GUCCCAUGAUGAGGACAAUUACGAAUUAACUCUUUGAAUUGCUCCUACGCCUUAUACAAAGACUCAUCAUCCAUGUUGGAAAGUUGUGAUCUCGUUCCUUAACUU
rfam:Gossypium arboreum cultivar AKA8401 contig_73644_1, whole genome shotgun sequence.